AGGACGAACGCUGGCGGCGUGCUUAACACAUGCAAGUCGAGCGGUAAGGCCCUUUGGGGUACACGAGCGGCGAACGGGUGAGUAACACGUGAGCAAUCUGCCCUUCACUUUGGGAUAACCUCCGGAAACGGUGGCUAAUACCGAAUGCGACUGCCGGCUGCAUGGUCUGGUGGUGGUAAAGUUUUUGCGGUGGGGGAUGAGCUCGCGGCCUAUCAGCUUGUUGGUGAGGUAAUGGCUCACCAAGGCUUCGACGGGUAGCCGGCCUGAGGAGGGUGACCGGCCACACGUGGGACUGAGACCACGGCCCAGACUCCGUACGGGAGGCAGCGAGGUAGGGGAAUUAGUGGACAAGUGGGCGGAAGCCUGACUCCAGCAACGCCGCGGUGAGGAUCGGACGGCCGUUACGGGUUACGUAAACCGUUCGUUACG
rnacentral:rRNA from 1 species